ensembl:lncRNA
GGACGCGCCCGCGACUUCGCCGUCUCACUGGGCCGGCUGAGCGACAGUGGCACCCGCAGGCCGGCAGCCUGGCGGGCAGGGUCCAGCCCCGAGGCCGCUCCCGGCUGGCGCCCGAGGGGCGGGGCUCUGCCGCGUAGGACCCGGACUCACUGAGGCCAGUCAGCCUCUCAGGAAGCUUUGGAAUAGUCAGAAGCCUUGCGCACCCCACUGUGCCGCUAGCAGCAGAAGCAGCGGGAAGGGCGUGCUCGGAGCUGCCCUGGACACUCAGGUGAGUUACAGAUGGUGGGAAGGAGAACAUUAUUCCUGGUCUCCUG